UGGCGCCCGAACAGGGACCUGGAAACGAGGGACUCCGUGAGGAAGAGGACGCCAAAGGAUGGUCGACCGCUAACGAAGACAAAAGGAGUCAAACUCUUCCGAUCACUGUGGGAACCUGCCGCGUCAGAAUCGAAGGUAAGUGACGCAUCCGAAAUGGGACAAGAAUUAAGCCAACAUCAAAUAUAUGUAGGACAAUUAAAAGAGGCUUUAAAGAUACGAGGAGUAAAGGUUAAAGGUAAUGAUUUGUUUAAAUUUUUUGAUUUUGUAAAAGACACUUGCCCUU
rfam:Macaca mulatta chromosome 3, whole genome shotgun sequence.